CUGAAACACACUAUGCCAAGGUCUAAUUUAAAGGGUUGGGAAGUGGAAUAUUUACGUUUCUGCCUUUGAUGCAGUGGAUGGAAGAAGUUGGAUCUUCCUGCAGAUCUUGAAGCAUGAAACGAGCAGACUUGGCUCUCUUGAGCUUUGGGUGGAAGAAAUCUGUAGUUUCUGGAACACGCAGACUGGAGAUUUCUAGAAGUGGUGGUUCGAUGUCGGGAACACGCCGACGUCUUUAUCCUUGAGCGUAGAAAUCUGUAUCUUCUGGAACACGCAGAAAUUGGAGAUUUCUGGAGGUGGUGGUUCGAUGCUGGGAACACGCCGAUGCCUUUUCUUUGAAGGUAGAGUUCCUGGAAAUCUGGGACACGCAGAUUUUUGGAGGUGGUGGCCUUGAUGCGAUGGUUCAGACGCCUUGGAAAAAGCACUGUGAAUCCAAUUACCAAAUCCUUGCUGGAACACGCAGCAAAAGGUCUGAUGUCUAGGACAAAACCCCGCAAACCACCAUGAACCACACUUUGACCACUCUUCAACCACCUUUUAGGACACAC
ensembl:processed_transcript